rnacentral:lncRNA from 1 species
GUUCUAUAAAGGAAACUUCCCUAGAAAGAAACCACUUCUAAAUGGAAUAAUUAAAAUAAUUUGUUAGAAACUUUAAGUUACCCUAUGAGCUCCUAGUAACACUGUUUUCAAGCUCAUAGGUUAAUUGUUAAGCCCUUUUGCUCCGAGUUGAACUGAUCAAAUGGCUCUGUGUAAAAGGUAACAGUGUAGAAUCCUCUUUGAGAAAUAGCAUGUAAACUUGGGAGAAAUGGCCUAAGCCCACGGUUCUCAAGUCACUGAGACAGUUGAAAAAGCCCCCUCAGGUGGUGAGAAUGGGAUAAUAUUUUAUUAUAUCUCUAAGAUGCCUCAAAUCCAAAGAGAUAAUUAAAUUUGGAAUUUUAUUAGUUUCACCUAAUAGUUGUAUAAAAGCUGAAUAUUUAAGGAUCUCCUUUAUCAGGCACUGAGAUGCUUUGUAUACAUUACUUCAUUUAGUUUUCACAAUAGUCCUAAGAGGUGGAGGUAUUUUUGACCCUGUUUUAUAGUUGAAGAACAGGCUCAGUAAGGUUAUAUUACCUGCUCCAAAUUUCACAGCUAGUUAAUUUAGUUUAUGUUGGAAGUUAGCAUUUAAGGUUGGUUAUUUUUCCUAUGUGGCUCCAAUUGCUCCUAAAAUGGUGUUGAUUUUUCUGUUUAAAAUGAUCCAGAGGAGGUUCUUGGUUCAAAGCAGAUUUUUAAGUGAUUUAAAAGUGCCUCAUUGUCCCAGCGCCAAAUUAUCAAAGUUCAAGGAAUUAUGCAUUUACUCUAGAAGGCUACGGCUUUCAAAUAUUAACUGAGAAAGCCCUACUCUUAAUGAGCUCGUUAAUGCACAUGGCCGCCUUAGUGUUGCUGAACUCCGGUAACUUUCUUCUGCUUUUUUUCUGAAGACCUUUUAAUUCAGGGUGUGCAUUUUCCUCUUGCGUGUCACAAGUGCUAUUCAGGCUUUCUCUAGUUGAAUCCCCUGUUUGUGAGUGCAUACCUGCAGUAUUUUAUAUGCUAAGUGAAAUAUUUUUAAAUUUACGUUAGCACCUAGAUUAGCGUUGAACCUGUUUUAAGAAUGGUGAGUUCAUGAAAGGCACACUCUGUGAGAGCUAAAACUAGUUAUGUGGAGGUGAGAAAGUCUCAGCGUGUCUGAUCAGAGCAUCCAUUUCUGAGAGAGUCCAUCUGUGGGCAUAUCAUCAUACAAGAGAAUAAUGCCACCUUCAUCGAAGACCAUGAAAUACCAUGAAAUAUUCCAGGACUAGGCAUUGCUGACAGCCCCACAUCAUCACCUGCACCAUCUAGUUGACACAGAACACCUACCCACUUCCUUAAGCCACUCUAAAUCCUAACUGCUUUAAGUGACCUGAAUUCUUGAGCAUGUUGAAAGAACAUGCCAGUGUGAUGAUAAAACCACUUGGGAGUAAUCUUGGAAAAGUCAUGGAGAGGGGGAAGCAUGCCACAGAGUCCAUUUUCAAAAAUGGGGAAAUGUCCAAAUCAGAUCAGUACAGUCUUCAACCAGUUGUUAUGAUCUUGGGUGAUUAGCUUAACUCAAUGGUUCUCUGCAGGGUGCAAUUUUAAACCCCCAGGGAAAAUUUGGUAUAUUUGGACACGUUUUUGAUUGUCACAGCUGGGGUUGGGGAGGUGUGCUAGUGGCACUUAGUGGAUACUGCCAUGGAUACUGCUAAACAUCCUACAGUGCACAGGACAGAGGCCCCACAGCAAAGAGUUAUCCUGUCCAAAAUGUCAGUAGUGUUAUGGUCGAGAAAUCCUGGCUUACAAGUUCAAUGUAUGUAUUUCUGUUUCUGACAUUUGAAUGCCAAUCUUUGCUUUAACGAAAUCACCAAGUAGCUUUAACAAAGUAGACGGUGGUGUUCCAGACUCUGAUGGCCUCAAGCCGCCCCUGAGUUGCUGGGAUAAUAGGCUGUAUAUAGUUUCUUAGGCAUUUUGGGUUCCAGAGCCUGUGGUACUUUCCUAUAUAAUUGUCCUUUUUAUAUUCUUAUAUUCCCGUUGAUAUAUUGAAAGAGUUUCCUGAAGUUAUCUGUUCCUAUAUAAUUGUCCUCUUUAUAGUCUUAUAUUCCCGUUGAUAUAUCGAAAGAGUUUCCUGAAGUUAUCUAUUGCUAAUAUUUAGCAUUUACUUUUAGGAGCAAAAUUCUCAGGAGAAUUGAGAAAUCUGUUGUCAUUUAUUUUGAUUAUGUCCAAGUAAAGGUCAGAGAUAUGAAAUUAAAUGUUUGUAACUGACAAACUAGUCAUCACAGUCUACUUCAAAGGGAAUGUCUGUCACAGUUUCAGUAGUGCCAGGGUACAUAGAGAUAUGUUGUAUGAAAACCAUAUGGUCUUGGGAAGACUGUAGAGGAAUCCUUUUGGGAAAAGAGUAUGGAAUGGACAGGAACAGUUCAGGGAAUAAAUGGGAUUAUAUCCAGCGAGGUUGAAGAAUAGGAAAAACAGAAACAUCCAGUUAGAAUAAGUUUUUGUGUUUGAUAGCAGAGUAGGGUGACUAUAGUUAACAACAAUGUAUUGUAUAUUUUGAUGUAGCUAGUUGUUUUCCACAUUCUACAACUGUAAACUGCUAAUUUUUUGUGGCUUCUUGCUCUAUACACCAUGCAAUGCAUAAUUUAUCAGUUUGUUUAAAACAUUAGAAAGGGAGAAAUACUCAGCCUUGUCCUUGAACCUGAGUUGAUACUCGAUCUAUCUCCAUCUGCAUUGCCCCCUUUUUCUCUACUUUGUCUCUUAUUUUGCUGUAUUUUUUC